ensembl:lncRNA
CACCAACUUUACCUUGACGAUCUUUUGGGGCGGUGACGUCAUUGUUGUCUGUUUGGCUAAAUUCUGGUCUGCAUGCAUGUAGAUUGUUUACCUCUCUCUCAGCGGCGGGUGGUUUGGCCAUCGCGGUAACAUGGAAUGGGCUUUUCUUUACAAAAUCGGGGACCUCAGUCAGCAAAGUGUCGAAUGGGUUAUUCAAACGUCACUCCAGCCGUCUGAUGGAUGUACACGUGGAUUCCUGGGGAACCACGAUGGCUACAAUACUCAUCUGCUGUUUUUAAUUGUUAAGAUCACCAAUGUUGGCUGGCAGCUGUCUUGAUUCAAUCCCAGAGCUCCGAAACCAACGCUGCAUUUUUCAUGACCGCGGAUAGUGGUCUGCUGGCGUCACGGUGAGGAGGGAAACCGAUCAUGGAAAUGGAUGGAGGGCCCUGAGGAAAUUUCAUAUCUGAUGUGCCAUUCAUCAGUCCAGUGCAGAAGUCAUAAAUUAUGCUUCCUAUUACCGGAUCGGUGUAUCCCAGUUACAAUCCCCCCUUUUUUUCCUCCCUUCUCUCUGUUCCUGCUAUCAAGUUUAUCAGUAAAAAAACUUGAAACUGUGCAAAUGUCUCCGUGGAGGUCAUUUAUAUAAAAAAAUAAAGAAAAAAAUGAACCCGCAAUAAUAAUAGAAUUGAUAGUAUUAGGCAACAAAGAAAGAUUAUGUUUCAUGAAUUACAACCCUUCGCCUUGAUGAUUACCGUUGGUCAGAACAGGGUUGUGUUGGGCAAACUGCCCACCUAAGAGAUAUGGUGAAUUUUCAG